UACAGAGGUCUCAAGCGUUGUUCGGAUUCAUUGGGCGUAAAGGGUGCGUAGGCGGCGCGGUAAGUCGGGUGUGAAAUCUCGGGGCUUAACUCCGAAACUGCAUUCGAUACUGCCGUGCUUGAGGACUGGAGAGGAGACUGGAAUUUACGGUGUAGCGGUGAAAUGCGUAGAUAUCGUAAGGAAGACCAGUGGCGAAGGCGGGUCUCUGGACAGUUCCUGACGCUGAGGCAUGAAGGCCAGGGGAGCAAACGGG
rnacentral:rRNA from 1 species